UGCCCUCUCUGUCCCCUCUCUUCAGGUGCUUCUGAAAUACAGAUCUGAGAAGGCAAAGCUAGCAGGAAAGGAAGAGGGAUAAGGGCCAUGGGACAAGGAGGGACUGCACUCAGCACACUGUGAAGCCUCUGUGUCUGCACAGAAAUCACUGCAGAGCAUAUCCAAAAGGUCUCAUCUUAAGUACUGGCACUAAGUGUUCCCAGUUGCUAAUUGGAAAAUGAACUUUCUACUGGCUCCUAUAAAGGUGGGGAAAAGCAUAUUUGUGCAGGCUAGGUAGUUUUGUGCUGAGGGAUGAGCAGGCUGAAGUAUGUCCCCAUCUACACCCAAGUGAGCUUCUGAAACAAACGGUCUGUCUGAUGGGAAAAGUGCUCAAAUUCACCUUGAGCUCAUCUCAGAUGCCAUAACCCAAACGUUUCCUUUUAGGUAACCAUUAGAAGGUAUGUAUUUAUUAAAAUUCUGUCAAGCUAGGAUUAGUGAUGCAUUCUUCUCCUACAGAAGCAGGUGAUAUAGACUAACGGGCAAGAUGGCUUUGUCAUCUCCCUCCUGCUGAUAGGUAGCAUCUUACUUGGCACAAAUUAGGUUACUCUCUGUUGGCAUGAAUGUGCACGUUUGGCUGGAGCCAUGUUUCUUUGACAGUCUCUUUUGUAGCUGCCAAAAUUCAGCAAAUCCAAACCCAGCUCCACUUGCUGGACAGAUUAUUUCUGUCAGACAUGUUAAACCCAGUUUAACAUGCAGGCAAAAUGAAUAGUAGUGCUUAAUACUUUUACAGCUGCCUGUGUGCAACCUCACAUUAAUUUGUCUCUAAGGCCAAGCCCAAGGAAGCUGUACCAGUGGGAACAUCCAGAACCCAACGUGACCGCAGUCUGCAGAGAUGCUGCAGAGGAAGGAGGAUGCACAUGCGAGCAAAGGGAUUUCUUGCCUCCAUAACCAGCAAGAGAAUGUCAGCUUGUGCCAAUUCGAGCUAGAGACCAACGGACACAUGAGACCUGCACCAUUUCUUGUGGGAACACACAGCUGACUCCUUCCUGCCAUCUAGGAGUGGACAUGUCCUGCUUCUGAACAAAGGUUCUCGACAAAGGUGGAGACUGAGUGCCUUGCAUGUCACCUACCCUACCGGGCUGGGCUGGCCAGCAUGGCAGCAAAUUGCAUUUCUGCUCCAAGAGACGUAGAAGAUGAUUGCCAGGGAGACCUGCUCUCCACAGCCCUACAGCAAUUCCUCUGGAGGCCUCCUCUCCAAUCGGGGGAUCGUUUCAUAAGGGAUCGAUGGUGAUUGCCAAAACCUCUCUGCCCUGAAGCCAGCAAGGUAAGAAAGUUGACAGUGUUCCCUUUAUACGUGUAGAUACAUAUCAUCAGUCAGGGACCUUCAUGCGCAGGGAGGGGAGGGGCAUUCACUCUGAUGCUUCCCUUUGAAACAACAGAAACAGACAGACAGACAGACGAACAGCCAGGAAUAUUACAGAACAGUGGUGCAAACAGGCCCAGGGUAGCACACUUGGGUGCAUUCCUAAGCACACCUCAGUGCCAGGAGAGCACAGCCCUCCCAUACACACACACACACGCAACACACACACCCCACACUACCACUGAGACACUCCAUUUCAGCCAGUGUUGGAGGUCAGUCCUUCCUCUCGGUAC
rnacentral:lncRNA from 1 species